rnacentral:lncRNA from 10 species
GUGGGGAGGUUUCAUGCUGGUCUGAACCUCCCAGCGGCUGUCUGCUUCUUGAUCCCUGCUGCCUCAGCAUGGCAGGAAGUCCAGCUGGAAGCAUCCGCCAGCCUCGGGAAUGGCCUCUGCCUCUAACUGCCUCCUCACAGACACGGCCAGGAAAAAGUCCAGCAGGAAUGGUGCAGCAUCAUGGGAGCCCUCCUGUGUGCCUGUCGCUACAAGGUGGCAUGUGCUGAUUUCAAGAAACGGACUUAGUGGAUGUUGCUCCAGACGGACUUACCCUGCCUGCCCCUCAGGUAACUCACCUUGGUCCCCUGUCCACAGCCAUUGGUCCCAUGGUCAUAAAAUCACUGCCACUGCUGCCACCACUGCCACCAAAGGAGGAGCUGACCCCCACAGAGAGACCCCACGCCCUGCUAGGCUGCACCAGUGGCUGUGAGAGGGGUGGGGGACGCUCCCCUGAGGAUGGGGGAGUCAAGCCCCGUGAGACCCACUUUAACCAAUGAGAGGCAGGAGCUGGAAGGAGCCCACAGAUCGUUCGCCCGCCUCUCCUCUCCCCAGACUGGCUGCUCUGAACGUGGUGGCUCCACAAGACUUUUCCAAGGUGUUCCGUGUGUGCUGCUGCAAAGCUGUGGCCGCUCCAAAAUACCAUCGCCCAUUGUGUUUGCUCUCUGUGUCCCAGCCCUACUUCCCUUUCCCUCCCUCUUACUUCCCUGGACCGCACUCCCUGAUGGAGUAUUCCCACCAGCACUGCCUUCCUAA